CAAAUGUGGAUACCCCCAGAAGUCACUCUCCUGGGGGUUCUGUCCAGGCAGCGUAGGGGAGCACAGGGCUCUGCCCUGUGUACAGCCCUUUCCACAGUGUUGGAGAGAAAGCCAGGUCUUGAGCCUGUGCCAGCAUAUUUCUACAGCCUCUCAGAGUCCUGUGGAUGAUGACUGAGAAGACAAACCAUGCAGGAAACAUCA